AGGAGGGUUGUGCAUGGGAGGGAAAGAGGGAGGAAAAGAGGAAUGAAGGAGGGAAGGAUGUGCACAGGAGGGAGGGUUAGCGAAGAAAGGGGGAAUGGAGGAGGGAGGUACGGAGGAGGCAAGCCGGAGGGGCAGGCAGGAUAGGAGGAGAAGAAAGGGGGCAUAAGAGGAAGCAGCACGGAUGGGCGGAGGGGCAGCGAGAGAAGACCGGGCCCUUACAUAGGUUGUGUUUGGACAGAGAGACAUGAGAGGCUGGCAGCUGCUAACAGCAGAGACAGUAAUGACAUGGUGGCUUCACAAAACUACUGUCUCAACUCCAUCAACAGUAUCUUUGAAGAAUUUGGUGAUGGCGUAGCCUUCCUGAUCAGACAGAGCCUGGACCAGAGCCACAGUGGAAAUCGUGUACUUGGCAAGCAAGCCCCUUCGGCAUUGUUCCACAUGAUCCCAAGUGAACCAAGCAAGAGUUAUUUGACCUACUUGGAUUCUGUGGAAAAUAUCUAUUGACAACACCAGGGGAACUUGAGCAAUGAUUUCUUUUGUAGCAUCCUCUCAUUGCAAAUGCAUCAGCCUGGGGAACCUCAGACAGCCCAGGACUGGAUUAGGAAUCCUGCCUUCAGGAGGACAAGUAGCAAAAAUGAAUUCUUCAGUUCUGAAUGCCAUGGCCCUAACUCCUCCAGGUCUGAAACACAAAGCUUCCCUUCCUUGUACUGCAUUCAAUUGUAUCUGCUUCUUACUCACCUGAUGUUCUCCUAAGAUUUUCUGAUGUCAUUACUGUGUUGCAGUUACUAUGAGAAAGCAGGUAUGUCUCAGGCACUGAAUCAAAUACUUAUUCUGGACAGGAUUUAUGUGGUUCUAGACAGGGCCCAUGCACUCUGCACCCUGCUACUGUAUCAGCUCUGACUAUUGGACGACAUUGUAUCAGACACUGUGAAAGCGAGCUUUUUAGCUUAGAAAGGGAAAGUGAAAUCUACCUGACAUUACUCAAGACAUCAGACUUUGUUUCUUGUCACAGUAACAGGUGACAGCUGCAAUCCAGGAUUUCAGCAUAUCCAAUGACCCAGCGUGGAAAUUGACUUCAGGACAUUCACUGAGGAUCUUCCCCUACCAGGUCAAAAAUGUGUUUUUCCAACACCCAGGAUCAUGUCAUCCAGCACAGAGAUAAUCUGCAUACCUUAAGGGAGUGAUAAUUGUCUUCUGUAUUCUUUUCUAUGCCCAACCUAUCACAAGUUUGAAAACUAAAAUCAAGUCUUGCUUGAAGUAUGUUUGAACUCAGGGAGUUACUUGAUUCUACUUGUCAUUGCUAUGAAGUAUUUUUGGCUUCUCUCCUCCUGUCCUAAGCUUCUGUCUAGUAUAAGUCUCUGCAGACAUCUUGCCUUCUUCUUUCUCCCAAGCCAGAGAGCCCCUGUUGGCUAAGUGUAUGACAUACCCUACCAUCAUCAAUCCUAGAUUAAGUAGGGAAGGAAAAACCUUGAGAUGUAAUUCCUUCUGAUGAGGAGAUAAAUACUCCUAAAUAUGUAAAAAAAAAAAAAAAAAAAAAAAAAAAAAGAAAAAGUGGGAAAGCUACGUGUAGAAUAAAGUCUGACAGAAAAUCAAGAACUUUUCUUUGAGGUAGACAAGUACACAUAGCCAGUGACCACUUCAAAGUAAUUAAAUCAGUGACUGAAAAGGCUUUAGUGAAGAUUACCAAUGGAUGAGCUCAUGAGCUUGACUGUCAGGAUGCAGGCACAUUCCUUGGUGGCCCUGAUGGGUCAGUCUGUUGAUCUCAGUGUGCUGGGAGUUUGAGGGAUCAUAGUCCUCUUGUGUCAGUGUGGCCAGGAGAGAGCCACAGGAGGUGCAGAUACCACACACCUCAUGUAUUACCUAACCCUAGCUGCAUUCCUUGGUUGUUACAAAAUCUUGCAACACAGUGACUCCUUCCUUUUGAUCUAGAGCCUGGAGAUUUGACCUCUUGGAUGUGGUUAACCCCAGACAGCAAUAAGUAACACUCAGUGACUCUCCCACUGCCUCCUGGCUCCGAUGUGAUGGGGAGGAGAAACAUCUGGGUUUACAUAAGAACAGUUUAAUAAGUCAAAUAAAACAUAAAACACUAAACAUCAAACAUAAAAUAAUAAUAAUAAUAAUAAUAAUAGUAAUAGUAAUAAUGAAAAUAUCAGCAACAAAGAGAGAGAGAAAUAAAAAUAAAACCCAAGAAAGAUAAAUGAUUCACAAUACAAUUGCUCAUCACCUGUUGACCAACAUUCAGUCCAAGCCUGCGCAGCAAUUGCCUCCUCCUGUCAACUCCACUCAUUUAUGUACUGGGCAUGGUAUUCUGUGGUAUGGAAUAUAACUGUGUCUAGUUUGGGUCAGCUGUCCUGGCUAUGAUCCUUUCUGGCUGCUUGUGUACCUGUUCACUAGCAAAGCUUGGGAAACUGGAAAGUCCUUGAUUUAGAGUAAUUAUUUCUCAGCAACACUUAAAACAUCAACGUGUUAUCAAUAUUAUUCUUAUACUAAAUGCAAACCCUACAGUAUUGUACCACCUACUAGGAAAAAUAAAAUCUCAGCAGCAGCCAGGAUAGCGGAGAGAAUGUUUUCCCCAUCAGUGACCCCAUCAGAUACAACUGAGGAUGUAUCCAAGUCUACUACCACUUCCUAUCAAAAUGGUUGUUUUAAUUUCCUAAAUAGCCUCACUUGCUAUUGACUUUCCAGUCCCAAAAUGCUGACAGGGCACUGAGAUAGGGGAACUCUACUUUGGGUCUCUUCAUGACUAGUUAUUUCCUCUACUUGCUCAACAACAUGCUUACACACUAGUCCUCUCACCAAAAAGGGCUGAACUUCUUUUCAUUAAUAUUGUACUUCUCAUUCUAGAAAUCUCUUUUUGCUGCUGAUCUGCCCCACCUGCAUUUGCAGGGCUCUUCUCAUAGAGCCUGAUGUGAUGCUCAAAAGGAUCUUGUCUUUGUCAUCAUUGACAAUAUAUGACAACAGAGAAAGUUGUGUCUGAUGUAACCAACUUUGCAGUCUCAUUUUAUGUGGCCCAUUGUGUGCAGGAAACUCUUCUGGCUCAGGAAGUCUGCCUGCAUCUGUGCUGCCACCGAAAGAGCUGCUGCUCUGCCCACAUACAUGUUUUUUGCUCAGUUCAUCUUCCAAAAAUGGAGACACUGUGAUGGCAGGUGUGGUUAUAGGUCCAGGGCCUUUUAUAUUAGUUGUUUAAAGUUGUUCAGCUUAAACAGUUCAAAGACAGAAUCACAGAAUAUGCUGCAUUAGAAGGGACCCAUCAGGAUCAUUGAGUCCAACUCAUGGACUCAUGACCUCUCUUUCCUAUUCCUUGCAGUGAAACCAGGCUGGCAGUUUACAAAAUACCAGAGGAUGGGAAAGUGGGAUGAAGUUCAACCAGGAUACUAGUUAACAUGCCUGUAAUAAGUGUAGACAUAAACAGGAUGCCCUAUGUUUUGUGUUUUUUGCAGUUUGUAAUCCAAAUUUUGAAUGUGGUACCUGUGACCCAGUUCUGCACAGGUCUUGUACUAAUAAAUGUAGAUGAAAGCUGCAUGAGGGGCAUGUGUCGGUUCUUGUUUGAGAAAAAUCAAUGAAUAUACCUGGAAUUUCAAGCCUGCAGAUACAGCAGAUGGAGGGGGAAAUGGGAGAAUUUUUCCUCAUUGAACUCUAAUGAAAAAGAAUACAGAUGAAACAAGCACAUUCCAUAGUCUUAAAUAUAUUUUCUAACCUUGACUCUUCAAUAGGAUACAGUUUUAUUUUCAUGAAAUUUCUGAGGAGUGAGAAUGGAGAACAUAAGCCAUAGACUCAAUUUUUGCUUAGCUCCAAGUCUCAGUGCAUUUUAUUGUAGAAGAAUAACCCUUGCAAAAGAAUUUCACUGACAAGGAUCCAGACAGAAGUAAACUUGUAUUAAUAGAUAAUUUCAAGUACCCAGGAUUAAUGGCUCAAAUACUACUGAAGGAUGUAGCUAAGAGUAGCAAAUUCUUGUUACCACAGAGGACUGCUUUAAGCAGUAGGUGGCUUUGCUGGUGUGCAAGAGAUUUAGUUCUAAGUAACAAAUGAGAUCUGAUUUAAGAAGUAAUUAUAGCAGACUCUAUCUGUCACAGUAGCUGCAAGAUAGUGAAGAUUAGUGUAGUAAUCUUAACUGUAAAAUGGCUGUCCACAGGCAUAAAACCAUGAAAUCAAAGGCAAAGUAUUUUAGAAAAUAAAAUCCUUAAAAUCAGCCUGGUAAAUAUUUAACUACACUGUAGCAUAAUGAUUGAAAGAACAAACAUACUGCAUUAUAUAGUUUAUUUAAGUAAUAAAUAAGCCUAUAAAGGUUAAAAGCAGCCCCCCAUGAUGUCAGGGGGAAGCAUCGAGAACAGUGUCAUCUUAAUUAUGUAGCUGAUAGAUGUGUCAGAGAAGUUCUGUGAGGAAAUGUAAAAUUCAAGUGAUCAGAAAGAGGAUAAAUAUUUGGAAUCAAAGACCUGCAGCCAUCAAGAGAUGCAUUAAGCUGUCUUGAGAGAAUGAAUCAAAGUCAGCAAGAGCUCUAACCUCUGCAGAUGUUGCCAUUUAAAACUAGCAGAACACCAGGGCAUGAAUUUCUGAAAGGCAAGUCACUGGCAGAAACUCUCAUGAAAAUAUUUAGUACUAAAAAAAAUUGCUAAUUCAAGUUACAACUUUCUGUUUCUUUGAGACUGUAAUAAAAGUAGCAAGAAUAAAAAUCCAGCAGGAUCCACUUAUUUGCCUCUUCCUCAAAAGAAUGGAGAAACUCUGAGGAGUAUUUUUCUAACCUCUUCUUAGAAAGUUGAAUGGUGGAGAUUAUACCUCAACAUUUUGGUGACCUAUUUCUGUCUGUAGCUAUCCAUAGAGUCAGAAGGUUUUCCUGUUUUAUCCUAAACCUUUCCAGCUGUGAUUAAAGCCAGCAAGGUUCUGCCAUGCCUUCAGUGUCAUGAAGCACAACCAUGAAGAGGGAUCCCUGAUUCUCAGAAUUUUCUACAUAUUGGAAUGUAGAGAUAUCACCUCCAUACCUGCCAUCAGCCUUUAUUUUCUAGAGCAAAUAUUACCUCUCCCUUUUUCAAUAAUUUUCCUUAUUUUAAACCAUUUUAAAGUACUCUUCUUUAUGUACUAUUGUAUUAGACUACUCCAAACAGAGUCUUCUGAAAGCUGAGUUGAGAAAAACAAUUACUAAUUCUGCCUUACAUAUGACAUAUAUAUUAGAAUGUUCCAGGAUGAGUUUUUCUAUUUUUUUCCGUCAGUGUGGUAACAUUGAUUCUAUUCAGAAUAUGGUUUAUUGUAACAGCCUGGUCUCUUUCUACAGAGCUGUUAGUAUUCUCAAUUUUGUAUUUAUGCAUUUGAUUUUCUUCUAGCUUCAGUAUAGUACCUGGUCCUUGUAAUUAUUGUGUUUCAUCUUAUUGAUUACAGACCACUUCUCCCAUUUUUCAAAGUUGUUUUGAAUUCCAAUCUUUCGGCUUCCUUGCACCCCUUUUCUUUGGCAUUUUUUGAGUGCGCUCUCCAUUCCAUCAACCAAGUCUUAAGUGAAAAUUUUGUGUUGGAUCAGAUUUUGGCCAGACCCUAGCAGAAUUCUAUAUUAUAUAUCCUUUCUAUUUGAAAACAAAAUAUGAAUAAGUCUAGGAGUAUCUUCUGCAAGCAAUUAUGCACAUAUUGUGCGCAGCAAGUUAGCCCAGAACAAAAUGUUUCUGUACCCUGUUAAUGAGAACGUCAAGUAAGGUAGUGCCCAAAGAUUCCCAUAAAUCAAUACACAUCUCUUCUACUGCCUUUUUUGCUAUGAAGAAGAUAACUGUUAAAAGAAGAAAACACAGCAGUUUAUCAAACUUUUUUUUGCAACAAAUCUUUCCUGCCUGUUUGUUUUUCACUGACCCUCCAGGUGCUUAAAAAGUGUCAAUUUAAUAAUUUAUUAAAUUAUUGUUCUUGAUGUUGAAAUGAUGUUUACUGCUGAUUUUUCCUUUCUGAAGAUGAUAUUUUAUUCUCCCCUAUUCAGGCUACCUGUUGUUCAAGAAUUCUUGAAAGCAGUGAUGGCAAUGCAGUGUUAUAAAUGUUUUAAUUCUAGGACCAUUUCACAGAAAAUAUCUGAAGUAAAUAUUUAGAUACAGUGUGAACAUAAAAAUUGUGUCACUGCUCUCGAUAUUAAUAUUUGACACUUGCUUCAAAAGGGGAAAUUUAUGUAAACACUUUAAAAGACAAAAUUUGCAAGACAGAAAAUAAAGUAAAACAACUUUUCAGAAGAAAAGUGGUAUAACUACUUAACUACUUUAUUAUUAUUCUUUGUAGCUUUAAGAGACUUUUCCUUAUAAAUAUUGCUAAAGCUUAUUAGAAGAAGCUAGUUAGAUACUUACUAAUUUUCUCUAUCCAAACUGCAUUAUAAUAAAUUACUGGUUGCCAAAUUGCUUCUUUGAAAUAAGUCAGUGGCAAAAAGAAUUAAAACAUGAACAAAAGAAUAGAGGUAGUAAGACAUAGAAAUAUUGAAAUAUACUGUAUUUACACACAACUGGCCAUGUUUAUCCCCUUACCCCUCAAUUUCCCCACUCUUACUCCUCCCCAAAUCACCUGAACAUCUCCCUUUUCCUGCCUCUGGAUCCUCCCCUAAACAUUAUGUAGUAAAUCCUGCAUAACUUGACAAUGCUUUUCUCCUGUAUUGAAUGAUGUAUCCUACUCCUAGGCAGCACCUUUGCUUGAUCUGAAAGGGGAUCUAGAGAGCUGCUUUCUUGCAGCACCUUGUCAUGCUGUCUUUUCCACCUGGAUACUGGGUCCCUGCUAGGACAGUCCAGGGAGGGGCCUGCAUAAAGUGUUUGUUUCUUGGUGGUCCUUGGUUCAGGUUGUGCUGUGGCCAGCAGGACCAGGGCAAUGAUUUUCCCCUUGUACUCGGCACCGGUGAGGCCACACCUGGAACCCUGUGUUCAGUUUUGGGCCCCUCACUACAAGAAAGACGCAGGGGUGCUAGAGAGUGUCCAAGAAGGGCAAUGGAGCUGGGGAAGGGUCUGGAGUGCAUGUCCUAUGUGGGAGCUGGGGUUGUUUAUCCUGGAGAAAGCGAGGCUCAGGAACCUUACUGCUCUCUACAGCUGCCUGAGAGGAGGCUGUAGCCAGGUGGAGUUCAGCCUCUUUUCCAAGCUAAUCUGAGACAGGACAUGAAGAAAAGGCAUCAAGUUGCACCAGGGAAGGUUUGGAUUGAAUAUGAAGAAAAAUAUCUUUGCUGAAAAGGUUUCCAGGACUUUAAACAGGCUGCCCAAGGAAGUAGUGGAUCACCAUCUGUGGAUGUAUUUAAAAGGUGUGUAGAUGGGACACUUAAGGACAUGGUUUAGUGGUGGACUUGUCAGUGUUGGAUUAAAAAUUGAGCUCAGUGAUUUUACAGGUCUUUUCCAAUGUAAAUGAUUCUUUGAUUGUAUGCAUCUAAGUUCCUGUCUGCUACUCUGCCUUCCCUGUAUUCCUCUGGACUUGAGGAGAUUGGUCCUCAGUGAUCUGAUGGCUUCUGUGAUGGGUCUGAGUGUAGCCCAACAGGGCAUAAUAUAAGUUCCCCAUAAUUCCACUGUCUCUCUGAGCAUCCUUGUGGUGUGCAGGUGGGGUUUAUCAUACAACUGAAUAGCUCUUCUGCCACAGAUAGAACUCCAGAUAAUUAUAAGAAGGAAAAACCAACAAAAACCCAAAGCACCCCUCUUCCACCAAAUAAUUGUCACCUUUCAAUUGUAAAUGAUUUUUGUUAGUGAAAUUUGGACCCCUCUGGAGGAAGGCACCCAUUUGCUGCUGGUCUUGUAAGUACACGUAUUUGAUGCUAUGAGUUGUGGGAGGUGAUUACUGGAAUCUGUUCCUUCUUCAUUUAUAAGGAAAAAAUAUCAGAAAAACAGUGAAGAAAAUGUGCCAUUUUACAUUGAUCAUACUAUUAUGGUUUCUUUAGUGUUUUCUUUUUUCCUUGUUUUUUAUGAUGAUGGAAAUAUAAAUGAUUUCUUUUUUGUAAAGUGCUUCAUGUAGAUUGCCAAGACUCACUUCCAAAGAGUUGAAUGUCACAUUCUAAAUCAUAACAAAAUUCUUCUCUUUUCAUCAAGCUUCAGUUAUUAUGGGAGUUAAUAAAAGGGAGUUGCUUUUGGAUACUGCUUGGUACUACGUGGUGCUCAAAGAAGCUGUUGCUAAGAAAUUUUAGAGUUUGAGUUUUCCUUCUUAACAGAAGAAUAUGGCCAUGAACAGCUCUCCAUCUGCUUUAGAAGAACACCUUCAUUUAUAUCUGUAUGUUUAAAUUAAUAUGUAUAUUUAAAUUAAUAUUUUAGAGCACAGACAAAGUUGCCUUGCAUGAAAGACAGCUUUCCUAGGCAGUGAAUUUACUGUACGUUGAAAUAAACAGCUCACGGAAGUGGAAAGAACCAAUAUGAUAUCAUGCAGCCUGCUCACGUUAGUCUUCACAUGAAGAACUACUAAAGAGUUGUAAUGUCAGAGUUAUGUCUCUUGUAACAGUGGAUAAACAAUUCUGCACUGGCUAGAUGCCUUCUGCUGCUCUCAAAGCUGAACAGGAAAUCUAAUUCAUCUCAUGUGGUUUCCUGAUGAAAUAUAUACUGGCAAUGACAAACGUAUGAGCACCGCUAAAUUCAGUUGCUAGAUAGUGAAAGAUAUCUUCUGGCUUUUCGUGUUUUUGCUUUUUUUUCCUAAAAUGAAACUUUAAACUUGCCAAACAAAUGACUAAAGGUCAACAUAAAACAUAAUAUGGAAAUUGCUUCUCUCUUUACUUACCUGAAAAAUAACAACUAAAACAUAAUUAAGAGAGAGAGAGAAAGAGAUUCCUGGAUUAAUGUGUAUAUUUUACAUAUUAAAAAAUGGAAGAUAUUCUCACUGAAGUAACAUCUGUCCUGAAGCUUCACAAGGGCACCUCACAGCUCUCGAGUAAGCUCUGCAUUGGUGCUUAACUGAGAUGACUAAAGAGCAUGAAUGAAGUGCCAAACUCUUUGGGUACCAUUAAGUCUCCCUCUUUGGGAAGGUAUGCAUUCAAUCACUAGGGAGAGAGAACAGCCAGACAGUGGCUGCUGAAACCACACAGUUUCAGGUGAAAUAUUUGGCUAUGAACAGCUAAACUAUUUUGUCAGUUUGGCAAUAAAUUUUAUUCUAAGUACAAUUCCCUGGUCCACAUCCAAAUGCUGACACUAGCUAUUUUUCUUGGUUGAAACAGAGUGAGAAGGGAAACAACUGGGAUGACCAAAGUUAAACCUGACACCUUCUGUUUCAUGUGAUCAGUAAAUAUUUUGUGCAAAGUUCUUGCAGUCUCUGUGCAAAACUGAGAUAGAUGGCACAGCAAAGCAGGUAGCAGCUCUAGAAGCAAAAAACUGGCACGCUGGAGCUUAUUCCAGUUUGAUCCCUUCUGCUAUUCUGUAUCAGAGGACAUAUUGUAGAUUCUUUAUUUUCUACUUUUAUCUAAAAAAUUAUUUUUGUUUUGACAGAGUUUGUAAUCUCCCAUUUUUAGUUACAGAAAGAAUCCAGAAACAUUUAACAUCUGUGCUUUCUCUCAGUUUGGUUGUUCUUAACAAUGCUUGUCUCAGAAAAGCCAUGAUCUUUCAAAUCAUAGUGGUCUAUACUGAUCUCACUGGUCAUUGCAGCACUAGCCAUUAGAAAACACAAUUCUACACUAACUAAUUAAAGUCUUCUGGGUUUGGCAUUUAGUUUUGUGUGCUGAUUCACAGCAAUGUACUUCCUUGUGCUGGGUUCAUAUGCAGCUGUGUGGCUUCACUACUGCCUUUAGCCAAUUUGAGAAGGUGCUCUUCCCAAAAGAAUGAUUCUUCUUGCCCAGAUGUGCAUCACCACUGAUUUCCUUGUGGUUGUACAGGUGUGGCCAUGCAGCAACUUGGAGAAACUCCCUUAACCCAGCUGGAAAGUCCAGCCACACAAAAGAUAUUUUCUCAGCUAAGCUGUUUCAGCUGACUGUGGUGAUGAAGCAGCACACCCCCAAUACAAAGGGAAGGUGAGAAGAUGUGGCCAGGCACAAGCUAGAAUUGCACCCUUUCAGCAGCAGUGGAGAUCAGCUACAAGAGGUUCUUGAUCAUCCCAGUCACAAGUUAAUGACUAUUGGUGCCACUUCUGCUAUUUGGCUUCUGGGGAGAGGAUGUUUAUGUCAAUAGCUGUCUAGCUGUGCCAUAGUUUGGGAAGAACCUGUUGGUGUUAGCCCAAGUGAUCUUCUAAUUUCAGCAGAAGAAGACCCAAAUAUCUGAAGAAUGUGCCUGGGAUGUGACUCUUCAGCAAACACAAAAUGCACUCCAGAAAAGAAGCACUGAAAGUAUCACUUUUGUAUGAAUGAACCUGCCCUACCUACUUGAGCUUUUUAGCCUAUAUGUGAAGGAAUGCAAGAGUUAGCAGUGACUGUAAAUGAUCUCAGUGCCCAAGAAAGCCUUACUCCUCAUGCCCUUACUCCCUUCCUUCCCGAUCCACGUGUUCUUGUCUCCUCAAGCACCCAUCCUUCCUUGUUCAGGUUAUAACAGGCUUUGUUGUGAAUUGACAUGACCCACAGCUGGCUGACAGUGGUUCCCCAAAAGACCUCAUUAGCUGUGGAGCUGGCAUAGUGCAAGCGUCAGGAGUGAGUGGUCAGUGCUGGGGCAGAAAGGAAGGGCAGGUAGUAGUGUGUGCAUCAGCUGUGGAGGGGUCUUGAGUCAGCUUCCUAGAGAUGUGGAGCCACCCCUCAAAGAUGAACAGUCUGUCUGGCAACCAAUGACAGUGAAAAUGCUAACUAAUAAGGUUCUAUAAACUCUGGUUAACAGUGUUGCUAAAAUUACUAAUGAAGGCAAAAACUGGUAAGUAAUGCUCUUCAAGCUUGUCUUUGCUGCAGGUAUACCACUGAUAAUGGAGUAAUAUGCAGCUGAAACUUAAUUGGAACACUAAGGAAAGCUUGAGCUAUUUAUGGUAUUUAAUAAUUUAAUAGUACAAAGUGCACUGAUUGUAGUAGUAUUCAUUUUUCUGUUUCAUUUAAUUAUUAUUUCUAUUUCUUAAUUAAUAAUGCAAGAGUGUAUUUUUGUGUAGCACUUUUUUUGUGUGCAGUUCCCAUUUUGCACCAGUAUUUAAUCAAGAUCUUCCUUCUGUUUGUAAAAAAUGAGUACAUUCUGGUAUACACACAUUCUGAAAAUUUGCUUGUGUCUGUAAUCUGUGAGAUCCCUGCAAGGCUCAUAAAGAGGAUCUUAUCACUAAAUGUUUACUCCAGGAUGUGUAAGAGCCCUCUAAUUUUUACAUUGUUAUGUUUACAACUGUCAGGUAAAACCAGGAGUUUUAUUUCUCCUGAUGUAGCUGGGAUAUCAAAGCGCAGAGAUGCUCAAGUCUGUAACUCAAAAAGGUUAUUUAAGAUCACAGAUCCCACUAGAUGACUUGCCUAGAGUGCUAAGAAAAGCUUUUGUGUAACAAGCACUGAACUUAUGUCUACCAAAUCCAAGAGGAUCUUCCUUACUACUGGACUUCACUGUCUCACUAAGAUUGCAGUAAAGAGUUCUUUAAAGCUGGGUUUAGAGUAUUUUGUUGAGUGGGAAGAAAGAUUUUCUUCUAGGGCAAGUUUUGAAUGUAGGUCACAGGAGGGCAGAAAGGAUAUAGAAUAUCUGCUGAUGCACAUGAUGGCUUUUACGGGCAAGGAAAAUGAAACCUGUAAUGUUUUGGAGGAAAAAAAACAACUUUAUCCAUGACAUGAAAAACAAGCUUAAAUUAAGGAAUACUGGGUUAUACUGAAGCCCUAAGGGACUGAAGUCAGUAGAGAAUAGUCAUCCCACUGGAAAAAUAAAGGAGGUACUCCAUAGAUUAACUUAGCAUUGCUCUAGAACAAGAUGUUGUUGCUUAGAAAGCCAUUGUGCUGACAGCCUGUGCACCUACUAAGAAUGUAUAGCAUGGAAAAAAGUAUAAAAUAAUAAAUUUUAAUUGUAUGUCUUAAAUGUGAAGAAAUAAGAAUGCUGCAUUUGUGUAAUGGGCUUGGUUUUGUGUAUUGAUGCUAAAUUACUUCUCAGUGUUUAAGAUCAUUUAUGAAUAUAAUCAUGUGUCUAAAUUUUGUACCUCUAUUUUAUAUGAAGUAAUUUUGGUUGAGAUAUUAUUAGUGGACCUUCUUGCAAUUUUUAUGGCUAAGAAAGCAAAUUUUAAAUUUAAGUGCAUAAAAUGAGGAGCAAGCAUUUCCUAAAGAACUUGCCCUGACAUAAAGAAAUUCUUGGAGGGACCUCUAAUCUCCUAUGCUUGAUAUGGGAGACCAGCCUAAAGGAAGAAAAGAAGGUUAAUUCUCAACAGGUGGCAUAGACAGAAUAUACUUUGUUAUGACCUGCCUUGUUCUGGAAGUUUGAAGUAUCAUUGGUAACAGAACUGGACUUUAGGUCUGUGCAUGACCUAGUCAGAUAGUCUUACUUUCCAGAAUACAGUUUCACUCAAUGAACUUUUUAUAUUUUCAUACUGUAGUAUUUGAAUUUUAAUUUUGUUUUAAUUUUUAUGACAUUUUAUUAAUAAAACUGAUAUUAUGAAAUGCAUUGUAUAUAGAAAAAUGAGUAUUCAAAUGUUGUCAUUUUACCAGUUCCAUGAGUAAUGUAUUUUCUAUUCACAAUAUUUUCUUCUAUAGUCUAUAUAAAUGUGCUUUUUAUAUGUUUUAU